GGUGGUAACGCUCCCUCGGGGCCUCCAGGAGGACUCCGGGAGACAGGCCACGAGCUCUUCUCUCCUCUACUCCUUCCACUGGGAAGCUGUCCAUUGCAGCCUGGGGAGCCACGGGGCUCAGGGAUGCCUUCCCAAAUGACACCUCUCAGGCUCUUUCCCCUCACAAUAGGGUUGAUCAUUGUCAUACUUGAUUAAGAGACUGGUCGACCCCCCAUCUCUCUGGGUUCAAACCUCCAUCUCUUUGCAUAGCAGCCGUGGGGCCUGUGUGCGUGUGUCACAUAAUCCUACGUUCCAAGGUAGAAGUGGUGUGUUUUCUUUGGCUCAGGAGCUGCUCCUAGUGGCUCGGGACAUCAGUUCCAAGGUCCAGGUCUUGGCUCUGCAAACCGUGGCCUUGCUAUGGAACAAGGGUAACACGGUGGAGCCCUCUGGGGUGGCCGUCAGAGCUAGCUCUCAGCCCAGGGUGUGGCCCACACAGCACCCUCUGGGGGGGGGGGUGACGACACAUUUAAAGGGUCUAGUACAAUGGCUCACAGACAGGAGCCCAGGGCAGCAGCCUUUGUCCUGGUGUUGUUCCUAAUUUACAGAUGCUUUGGACUCUGUGGGUCAUUCGUGGGCGCGUGACCACCGGCUAGCAUGGCCUCCAAGAACGCAGGGCCACGUAAGUAACAGGAGACCUAAUGGCACAUUUUCCCUAGAAGUCCGGCCACUGAUUCUGCCGUGUAAGCCAGAUCUAAACCUGGACUAGAACCUAUCUUCUCAAGCCUAUCCCUAGCUUUCCACAGCUAUAAGGACAAAGGACAAACAAAUAUUGAACGUGGCCUGCGUGACCCUAAUAUUCCUGGCCUAUGUGGUCUGCCUCUGCUUGAUUCCCCUGCCUCAGCUCUAGAAGGUCCUCUCUCAUUCUUGGCUCCAGUCACGCGACCCCAGCCCCUUCACGAUGCUGGUGUCCUUCUUCCUCUACCCUCCGUGCCUGCCAGGGCCCCUGCAUGGUGAGUGGGUGCCGGGUGCACGACGCUCCCUUUCCUCUCCACUCCCCUCCCUUGGUAACUUGGAACUUUUCCUUUGUGGAUUGAACAUCAAAUGGGGGUGGCACGGACAUGCCCCGGGCUUCCAAGGCUCGCAAGAGUCCCAGUGUCAGAAGAAAAGCCUCUGCCCACGCACUGUGGCUGAAGGUGCUGUGGAGAGAGCCGGGCAGCAGCAGCCCACGGACAGCAUCCUGACGGCAUGUUGAACACGCCCAUGGCUCCUGCUCAGUGCUCCCGGCUCCAUCCCGGGUGAGCUGCACUCACGACCUCCUUCAGCCCUCCAGUGACGAUGCGGUUAUGUUUAGCCCUGAUUCAGACCCGGGGGAACCAAGGCCCAGAGAAGUUAGUGGUGCAGAGAGAAGUCACAAAGCAUUGCUGGAAGAGUGGGGGCUCAAGACCAGACCUGACUGGACAAGCAUUUACUGAACAUGCCCACCACCGUGCGAGACCCCGGAGUUCCCCCUAUGACGAUGGGCAUGCUCCCGACAGACUUGCAGUCUGACUGGAGAGUCAGAAUUGGGCCUCUUUUUAAAGUGUCCUUCCUGGCGUCCAGAACAAUGAAGCGCGUAACUAGGACCUGCUGGUGAUGUGAUUACUGCCUGCCACCCUGGACCCCGCAUCCCAUCCACCGGAGGCAUGGACUUUCUCUAAGGGAGGUGCCUUGCUGCUCAGAUACUGCAAGUCCAGGAAAUGCUAAACUUUUGAGAAGAGAAACACCUACUCCUCUAGAGCAUCCUGUAGGGGUUGGUGGAGCACAGUCCAGAUCUCCCACCUGCGAGACCCUCUUGGCUCAUGCUGUCCCUUUCCUCCCAGAAAGGAGCAUCCUGGCCCAGGCCACCCCUGGUCUAGCCCCUUUUACAGCACACGGAGCUUGAGAGACAACCAUGGUGAGACCCAGAUCCACCUCAGACACCUGCUAGAUUCCUUGGCUUGAGGAAUUGCUGCAGGUGGAAGCCCAAGUUGAUCCUGGACAUUCCCCCAGUUGUGUCCAGAUUCUAGAAUCCAGAGACCUGUGAUGCAGGAGUGCCCUGGGCCCCAUCCUCAGCAGAGCUUGCUCCUGUUCCAUCAUGGCUGGAAGAAGACAGGAAAGCAUGAGAUGCCCUCCUAGGAAGCUGCAGGAGUCUGAAGGAGCUGUCCUUGGGCUGUAUGUUUUGUUUCUUCCAGUCCCCCAGAUUUGCAUCUGUACAAUGGGAGUGUUAUUGCUUGAUGUAUCUAAGAAUUUAGCAAAAUGUGAAUUGUGAAUCAUCUGACACUGAAUGCAUCCAGGGAACAUGUUAGAAAACCAACACCCCGAGUAUGUUUGGAAGGUGGACUGUCCAUUUGUCUAUCUUUGAAAAGGCAAAGACAGGAAAGGAGAGGAGAAGAGGGGAGAGGAGAGGGAAGGAGAGGAGUGUGCAUGCUCAUAGAGCUCACAGCCUCUGACUCCUGGUGCCUUUCGCUGGGCACCCACUGAUGGCUCCAGAAAAAAGUAGAGCAGAGCUCAGGUGUAGCUCUGGAGGCAGCUGCCCCGAUCCUUGCGGGGUGCCUCUCUGCUUCUCCUGGGUCCCAGUGAGAAGGAAAUCUCAGCCCUCGGCUUCCCAAGGUCAGAGUCAUUGAAAUUCUCUGUCUGUAUCCCAAUUUUCCAGCUGAGGACUCUUACAGUUGUCAAGACAUAAAGACCCCAAAUGGGCACUUUUCAAGAUGACCAGGAGUGUAUAAUUAGUCCAUUAAAAUUGUCAAGGUGUUACUUUUGGUUAGUUAAAAGAUGUAUCAAAAUCAUUCUGUUGUUAAAGUGCAGACAGUGCGGGCACACGUGCGUGCAUGUGAGAGUGAGUGUGUGUAUGUGUGUGUAUUCGAAAAAGGAUCCAGUACAACCAAUGACUGAGGUCGUGACUUCACCACAAAAAUGCAUCUUGAUCCUGGCCCACUGUCCACAGCAGCCAUCCGGGACACACCCUGGACGGGUGGAAGGAGCCAGCCAAGUUGCCACUGCACCCUGAGGUGUCCCUAAAACUUUGAGGCUCCCACUGCAGGAAGAAACUCUUAACUCUAACUGGUCUCUUCAUUCUAUCCUGAGAUAGUGGAGAACUGUCCUGCACUGAUGAAUCAGGGCACUGGGUUUGCACAUCCUUGGGUGGA